rnacentral:rRNA from 1 species
UACGAAGGGGGCUAGCGUUGCUCGGAAUCACUGGGCGUAAAGGGUGCGUAGGCGGGUCUUUAAGUCAGGGGUGAAAUCCUGGAGCUCAACUCCAGAACUGCCUUUGAUACUGAGGAUCUUGAGUUCGGGAGAGGUGAGUGGAACUGCGAGUGUAGAGGUGAAAUUCGUAGAUAUUCGCAAGAACACCAGUGGCGAAGGCGGCUCACUGGCCCGAUACUGACGCUGAUGCACGAAAGCGUGGGGAGCGAACAGG